rnacentral:rRNA from 1 species
AGAGAGAGACAUGCGCGCAUAUCAAUAAGCGGAGGAAAAGAAACUAACAAGGAUUCCCUUAGUAACGGCGAGUGAAGCGGGAAGAGCUCAAAUUUGAAAUCUUCAAGGUUCUACCUUGACGAAUUGUAGUUUAUAGAAGUGUUUUCUGUUAGUGGAGUGGCAAAAGUUCUUUGGAAUAGGACAUCAUAGAGGGUGAGAAUCCCGUAUUUGGUCAUUCCUCCUAGCGUUGUGAUACACUUUCAACGAGUCGGAUUGUUUGGGAAUGCAGUCCAAAAUGGGUGGUAAAUUUCAUCUAAAGCUAAAUAUUGGCGAGAGACCGAUAGCGAACAAGUACCGUGAGGGAAAGAUGAAAAGAACUUUGAAAAGAGAGUUAAACAGUACGUGAAAUUGUCAAAAGGGAAGCGUUUGACACCAGUGUUGUUUUUCCGAGAAUCAAUUACGAAUGUUUUAUUUUUGAGGAGUUAUGACUUCAUCGGCUUGCUCCUUUCUUUAUGAAACUUUCUUAAUGCACUUUUCGGUUAACAAGUCAACAUCAAUUUCUUUUGUUGUAAAAGGGUAUGAGGAAGGUGGCUUGCUCUUCGGCGCAAGUGUUUAUAGCCUUGUGAUCUCUGCAAUCGGAGAGAUUGAGGUCUGCAGCGUAGAUCCUUCGGGGUUAGAUGCAGUUUGUGCUAAGUUAUAGCUUUUCAUAGACAACAUGUUGACUAUGAUUAGUCAUGUAGCUUACUCGCUGAUGCUAUUUUACCUACGCUUAGGAUGUUGAUAGUCACAGCGUGUAC